UCGUCUCUUCAGAGACGGGUAAACCCUAGUAGCCGCCACCCUUUCCACCGUUCUCCGGUGGCAGCGCCGCCUCAAAUCGGUCCCAAAAUUACACCAUGAAAUCGCCAUGGAUUCCUCUGCCUAAAUCCAUAACCCGUUCCCUUCAAAUCCCCCUCAAUCCCUUCGAAUCUCGAAUCAAAGUUCGGAACCCUAAAACCCCAAAUCCUAUGACAAGUCAGAAACCACUGGUUUUGUUGGGUUUCAGGCUUCGAAAUGGUCGGAAAUAUAGGUUGAUUAGUUGUUCUUGGCAAGAACAACUGACUAGCCUCAAUUUCGGGUCAUUUCGAGACUCCCUGACCUCAUGCAAGACCAAAGACUCACAAGAUCGAGGUUGUUCAUCAAAUCCCUCUUACGUGUCUGGUAGAUAAAUAGACAGUGCAUUCCCUUCUUUGACGGUAUUUCUUCAGAACUCAUUGAAUGACAGGCUGAGUUAUGGAUUUGGUUUUAUGUAGGAGAUAAGUGUAGUGUAUGAAAAAUAUAAUUGAUGUUUGGUUUCAGCUUGGUUUGAGUCAUGUAAUUCGAGUUAUGAAAUGGUAAAGGGUUGACCCCUUGUUGUUUAUUAGCUAUAUCAUCUUAUUGUGUUUUGGUUUAUUGCCCCAAGCUAGUUUAAUUACUUGAGUAUAAUCGUUUGUAGCAUCUGUUUGUUCUGAAACUAGGACACUACUCGACUAGGCUGAAAUUGAAAAUUCCAUCCUCUUCUGGCAUGUAUAAGUAGGACUGUCCUGAAGGUGUUUGUUUGGUUAGCAUACUUGUUCUUUAUGAAACAGCUCUAUACAUGAUUUGUUAAGUGGUAUUUAGAGUUUUGGUGUGAA